AACGAACGCUGGCGGCAUGCCUAACACAUGCAAGUCGAACGGGACCUUCGGGUCUAGUGGCGGACGGGUGAGUAACGCGUGGGAACGUGCCCUUUGGUUCGGAAUAGCCUCGGGAAACUGGGAGUAAUACCGGAUACGGUCGGAAGACGAAAGAUUUAUCGCCGAAGGAUCGGCCCGCGUUGGAUUAGGUAGUUGGUGGGGUAAAGGCCUACCAAGCCGACGAUCCAUAGCUGGUUUGAGAGGAUGAUCAGCCACACUGGGACUGAGACACGGCCCAGACUCCUACGGGAGGCAGCAGUGGGGAAUAUUGGACAAUGGGCGAAAGCCUGAUCCAGCCAUGCCGCGUGAGUGAUGAAGGCCUUAGGGUUGUAAAGCUCUUUCGCCAGGGAAGAUAAUGACGGUACCUGGAAAAGAAGCCUCGGCUGACUCCGUGCCAGCAGCCGCGGUAAU
rnacentral:rRNA from 1 species